rnacentral:rRNA from 1 species
GGGGUAACAUUGUGCUUGCACAGAUGACGACCGGCGCACGGGUGCGUAACGCGUAUGCAAUCUACCUUUUACAGGGGAAUAGCCCAGAGAAAUUUGGAUUAAUGCCUCAUAGUAUAUAGAAAUGGCAUCAUUUUUAUAUUAAAGAUUUAUCGGUAAAAGAUGAGCAUGCGUUCUAUUAGUUAGUUGGUAAGGUAACGGCUUACCAAGACAGCGAUAGAUAGGGGUCCUGAGAGGGAGAUCCCCCACACUGGUACUGAGACACGGACCAGACUCCUACGGGAGGCAGCAGUGAGGAAUAUUGGACAAUGGGCGAGAGCCUGAUCCAGCCAUGCCGCGUGCAGGAAGACUGCCCUAUGGGUUGUAAACUGCUUUUAUACAGGAAGAAACACUGCUACGUGUAGCAGCUUGACGGUACUGUAAGAAUAAGGAUCGGCUAACUCCGUGCCAGCAGCCGCGGUAAUACGGAGGAUCCAAGCGUUAUCCGGAAUCAUUGGGUUUAAAGGGUCCGUAGGUGGAUGAUUAAGUCAGAGGUGAAAUCUUGCAGCUCAACUGUAAAAUUGCCUUUGAUACUGGUUAUCUUGAGUUAUUAUGAAGUAGUUAGAAUAUGUAGUGUAGCGGUGAAAUGCAUAGAUAUUACAUAGAAUACCAAUUGCGAAAGGCAGAUUACUAAUAAUCAACUGACACUGAUGGACGAAAGCGUGGGUAGCGAACAGGAUUAGAUACCCUGGUAGUCCACGCCGUAAACGAUGGUUACUAGCUGUUCGGACUUCGGUCUGAGUGGCUAAG